rnacentral:rRNA from 1 species
AGUGAACGCUGGCGGUAGGCCUAACACAUGCAAGUCGAACGGCAGCACAGUAAGAGCUUGCUCUUACGGGUGGCGAGUGGCGGACGGGUGAGGAAUACAUCGGAAUCUACUUUUUCGUGGGGGAUAACGUCGGGAAACUUACGCUAAUACCGCAUACGACCUACGGGUGAAAGCAGGGGAUCUUCGGACCUUGCGCGAUUGAAUGAGCCGAUGUCGGAUUAGCUAGUUGGCGGGGUAAAGGCCCACCAAGGCGACGAUCCGUAGCUGGUCUGAGAGGAUGAUCGGCCACACUGGAACUGAGACACGGUCCAGACUCCUACGGGAGGCAGCAGUGGGGAAUAUUGGACAAUGGGCGCAAGCCUGAUCCAGCCAUACCGCGUGGGUGAAGAAGGCCUUCGGGUUGUAAAGCCCUUUUGUUGGGAAAGAAAAGCAGCAGGUUAAUACCCCGCUGUUCUGACGGUACCCAAAGAAUAAGCACCGGCUAACUUCGUG